UACAGAGGUCCCAAGCGUUGUUCGGAUUCAUUGGGCGUAAAGGGUGCGUAGGCGGCGCGGUAAGUCGGGUGUGAAAUCUCGGAGCUUAACUCCGAAACUGCAUUCGAUACUGCCGUGCUUGAGGACUGGAGAGGAGACUGGAAUUUACGGUGUAGCGGUGAAAUGCGUAGAUAUCGUAAGGAAGACCGGUGGCGAAGGCGGGUCUCUGGGCAGUAACUGACGCUGAGACACGAAAGCGUGGGUAGCAAACAGG
rnacentral:rRNA from 1 species